UUACUCGCUAGCAAAUAACUAUUUCAAAACUUGCAAAACUGGAAUAGUCUAGUGAAGAAAAAAAUCUUAAAGAAUUAAGACAAUUUAUGCAAAAAUACUGGAAGGAUGCAAUUCGGUUGACUUAAAGAUUUAUUAUUUGACGGAAUGCUAGACAAAAUCCAACACAUUUCAAAUUUAUGCAGUUUUUUAAAAAAAAAAAAUUUAUAUUCAUUGGAG